AUAAGGCUAUUGGACCCUGCAGCCAGGCUCAAAGGGCCAAAGGCACCCUGACUUAGAAGGGGUUCCUUCAUUUUCCAACUCUGAGCCACUUUCCAAUUCUUCUCUCCUUCUCUCUCUAAACUCAGUUUUCCUCCUUCCUUCUCUGCCUUCUCUCUACCCUUACACUCAUUUGAACCGUUGAAAUUUCGAUUAGGUGGUGUUCUUUCGCUCACGGAGUUGAGGGCUUCCUAUCCAUCUGAUUAGUUUUCGAUUUGGACGGGUGGUUGUAGGGCACUAUUUGGGUUUUCUCUGUGAAGGCACUGUUAGGACACUCUAGUUGGCUAUACUGCUCAACUCCAAGAGGAAGAUGAGGUUUCUUUGGAGGCAACAUUGGAGAGAAAUGAAGAUGAUGCUGCAGCUUAGACUCACUAGGAAUUCUUAGUUCUCUUAUGUCCUUUUGAAGAACCUUGUUAUGUUUUAAGUUUCAAAUUCUGGACAUAUUUUGGAAUACUCUAGUGCUUGAAGUUUUAAUUCCUUAGUAAAUUCUGGAAGACUGUAAUCCUAUAAUACUUUA